rnacentral:rRNA from 1 species
UCGAGGAUCUUCGGCAAUGGGCGCAAGCCUGACCGAGCGACGCCGCGUGCGCGAUGAAGGCCUUCGGGUUGUAAAGCGCUGUCGAGGGGGAGGAAAGCCCGAAAGGGUCUGACCUAUCCCUGGAGGAAGCACGGGCUAAGUUCGUGCCAGCAGCCGCGGUAAGACGAACCGUGCAAACGUUGUUCGGAAUCACUGGGCUUAAAGGGCGCGUAGGCGGCUUACCAAGUCCGGGGUGAAAUCUUUCGGCUCAACCGGAAAAGUGCCUUGGAUACUGGUAAGCUUGAGGGAGGUAGGGGCAUGUGGAACUUCCGGUGGAGCGGUGAAAUGCGUUGAUAUCGGAAGGAACGCCGGUGGCGAAAGCGACGUGCUGGACCUCUUCUGACGCUGAGGCGCGAAAGCUAGGGGAGCGAACGGGAUUAGAUACCCCGGUAGUCC